AUGAAGAAUCUGAAGGAUGCUAAGACUAAGAUUUACCCCUCUAAGACGAGGGGAGGUAAGGAACUGCCAUCCAGUUCUGCUUUAGAUUCACCUUCUGUUAUAAGUAAACUUGCAACACCACCACAUGCUAUUAAUCCUGAUAUGUCACAAGUUAUUGAUGAUGCUACUUCUAUUAUGAAUGAUGCUUACGAUGAUGCUAGUACCUUGCUUGAUGAUAAUGAUGUGCCACUUGGUGAUUUUUUUGAUGAAAAAAUUGCUAGAGUAAUUCAACAUGAUGUUGUUGAAUCUGAUGAUGAGCUUGAAACUGAAAAUCUUGAAACACCUGCUAGAACUAUCCUUCCUAGAUAUGCAUUGCCUAAGGUACCGGAAGGUUAUGUUAUAAAUGAGGAGACAACUAGACAUAUUCUUGCAUGUAAGGAUAGAGAUGAUCUAGAGAAAUUAUUAUGGACUAACCGAUGUGUCUAG
rnacentral:rRNA from 1 species